rnacentral:rRNA from 1 species
AUUGAACGCUGGCGGAAUGCUUUACACAUGCAAGUCGAACGGCAGCACGGGGGCAGCCCUGGUGGCGAGUGGCGAACGGGUGAGUAAUACAUCGGAACGUGCCCGGUCGUGGGGGAUAACGUAGCGAAAGUUACGCUAAUACCGCAUACGAUCUGAGGAUGAAAGCGGGGGACCUUCGGGCCUCGCGCGAUCGGAGCGGCCGAUGUCAGAUUAGGUAGUUGGUGGGGUAAAGGCCUACCAAGCCGACGAUCUGUAGCUGGUCUGAGAGGACGACCAGCCACACUGGGACUGAGACACGGCCCAGACUCCUACGGGAGGCAGCAGUGGGGAAUUUUGGACAAUGGGCGCAAGCCUGAUCCAGCCAUUCCGCGUGCAGGACGAAGGCCUUCGGGUUGUAAACUGCUUUUGUACGGAACGAAAAGGCUCCGGCUAAUACCUGGGGCUCAUGACGGUACCGUAAGAAUAAGCACCGGCUAACUACGUG